UACAGAGGUCUCAAGCGUUGUUCGGAUUCAUUGGGCGUAAAGGGUGCGUAGGUGGCGCGCUAAGUCGGGUGUGAAAUUUCGGAGCUUAACUCCGAAACUGCAUUUGAUACUGGCGUGCUUGAGGACUGGAGAGGAGACUGGAAUUUACGGUGUAGCAGUGAAAUGCGUAGAGAUCGUAAGGAAGACCAGUGGCGAAGGCGGGUCUCUGGACAGUUCCUGACACUGAGGCACGAAGGCCAGGGGAGCAAACGGG
rnacentral:rRNA from 1 species